GACGAACGCUGGCGGCGUGCCUAAUACAUGCAAGUCGAGCGAAUGGAUUAAGAGCUUGCUCUUAUGAAGUUAGCGGCGGACGGGUGAGUAACACGUGGGUAACCUGCCCAUAAGACUGGGAUAACUCCGGGAAACCGGGGCUAAUACCGGAUAACAUUUUGAACCGCAUGGUUCGAAAUUGAAAGGCGGCUUCGGCUGUCACUUAUGGAUGGACCCGCGUCGCAUUAGCUAGUUGGUGAGGUAACGGCUCACCAAGGCAACGAUGCGUAGCCGACCUGGGAGGGUGAUCGGCCACACUGGGACUGAGACACGGCCCAGACUCAUACGGGAGGUAGCAGUAGGGAAUCUUCCGCAAUGGACGAAAGUCUGACGGAGCAACGCCGCGUGAGUGAUGAAGGCUUUCGGGUCGUAAAACUCUGUUGUUAGGGAAGAACAAGUGCUAGUUGAAUAAGCUGGCACCUUGACGGUACCUAACCAGAAAGCCACGGCUAACUACGUGCCAGCAGCCGCAGUAA
rnacentral:rRNA from 1 species